rnacentral:lncRNA from 1 species
CCUUGCUCAGAGAGCAGAGAUGUCCUAUGCUGUGUUUAGUGCUUGACUUUGAAAGGUCCUGGCUCCUCAAGAUGCAACAUGUUUGUUCUCCUUGAUCUUAUGAAGGGCUUGAUCUUCGAUGGGCAAGUUUGACUACUGAUAGAGAAGCAGCUGGGACACCCCCCCCCAACCCAGGUAGUCCAAGGGGGUCAGGAAUCAGGAGUGGGGAUGUCCUUUUGACCUAUGAGUGUCUGUGCCAGACUCUGCAGCGGAUCGCCAUUCUCCUUGCCUUUGUGGAGGCACAGAGAACUUCUGGACCCUGACCCACAAUGCACCAGCCAUGGAAACUCAGGGUGCCACCUCAAUGUCUAUCUACUUGGCCCCAGCUACCCUUGUCCCGUGCUCCUAAUGCUUGUUGGAAAAUCCUGGAAACAUGGCAAGACACCCCCAUACUUGAUUUGAUAUGGAGA